ACUGUCACAGCUUUUCUGGUUUACAGACAUCCAGGCUCCCUCACUGGAGGAUUUCCAAUGUCCAAGUCUGUGGUCUUGGAACUUCGGAGGACUCUGUGGCAUGUUCGUAAGUGUGCCAAUCUGGGAGAAGUUUCCAUUUGUUACGCAAGACUUUCACAAGUAUAAAAGGCUUGAAUACAGAUGUCUGGAUAUUAGUAUCAUACUGACUUAUCUGUAAUGCUAAACGCUCUGGCUAUAUCUUGGCAAGAUGCAUAUAAGCAUGGAAAAGGAUGUGACUCACUCAGAGAAAAGAAAAAAACAAAAUGAAAAAAUACUAAUGAAAAAUCUAUCACAACAUUUCUACCUACAAGUGCAGGAGUUGCACAAAAUUUCAGUAAGUAUAAAAUAUAUGGGAAUUCUGAAGAGACUGUAACAGAGUAAAGAGAAACACAUCGCAUGGGAAGAAGACCAGAAGAUCGUUCAUUCAAAGAAAAAUACUGAUCCUUUGGGUGUCUUUUAAUAUAUCAUUAAAGAGUAACUAAAAUGGAAUGAAUCAUCAUAUUUUUCUUAGGUUUUGAACAUGUUCCAUGCAGGAUGUUACUAAAAUAGGAAAAUGAGAAGCAAUUUAUUUUCAUAGAUUAAAAAUGGACUAGAAAUCAGAAAGUAAUACUAAUAAUAAAGGAUCAGUUUGGAUAACA
rnacentral:lncRNA from 1 species